GCGCACCAGAGGCUUCUCGGUCUGCGCGGGCCGGAGCGCGGGGCAACGCAGCGGCAGCAGCGGCCGACUGAGGAGACCUGCGAGGAGAGCGCUGCGGCGGAGCAGGGAAGCCAUAGAACACAUCGCAAGAGCUGCAAAGGUCCUUCGACAACCAACGUGUCACGUUACUGUGUGAAAGUGCAUCUGCCCUAAACAUAGAGGAGAUCUGCGUGAUGUGGGCCCUCCAGCCAGGCACAAGGGGAGAAGCUGGUGGAGUUCCUGGGAUCAGCCUUCCAGGUUAGAACCAUCCCUUACUGUAUGACCUGCCUGUGCUCCUACCAGGACUUCACCACUGCUGCACAGUUCCUGGACCAACUCUUCAGUAGAGCAACAGGUACUUCCCACACAGGCUCUAGAGCCAACCUUGCCUGCUCUGCACUCAGAGUCACCUGUAGAACUGGAUCCAUGACCAUCUUUAGAGCCCACACCAGGGGCAGGGAAGUGGUCACCUCCAGUGAUGGAGCUGGAACUUGAGCAAUCUCCAGAGCCCUCCUGCCCCUGUCCUGUGAUAUGAUGAACCAGCCCAGUGUGGACAUGUGUGACAUCAUGGCGUUCUCUCCCAAGCUGCUGGCAGAGCAGGUGACUCUGAUGGACACGGCACCUCUGCUCACUGUCUGAAGAAGACACGGAGAGAAGUUGGGAGGUAGGGAGGACUUCCCCCUACCAGGGAAGGAGCACCAGGGACUACAAGGGACCUCUGUUGUGCUAAACAUUGCUUUAUUAGUGAGCCUGGAAGUCACUGGGACCAGGGACACUGGAGGCUGCAAUGAGCUGGUUGGAGAGGCCUGUAAGUCUUUCUGGGACCUUAGGCCAGCAGUUCUGCCCCAGGAUUCAGUGUUACCAACUGUCAGGCACAGGCUGGAGCCAUUUGGACACUAUCAAAUGUUUGUUAACAGCAAUGGAACUCUUUGCCCAACUGAAAUCUCAAAUCUAAAACCAGAGCUGCUCAGUUGAAGUGGGGAUGGGGCCCAGGUGACCAACAUGAGAGCUCCUCUCCCCAGUCCCACGCAGCCCUUAGGACUCAGAGAAACCCAGCUGGAAACUCUCAUCCAGACAAUGGGAAUUCUUUGGAUUUUCAAACUAAAGGAAUUUGAACUCACACAACUCCACAUUAUUCACACUUUUUCCUCUUUCUCCUCUCCAAAAAAAAAAAAAAGCUUCCCAAAAUUUCAAAAGCUGUGUGCCAAAGACAACUGAUUGAGCAGAAAUGUACUGAUCUAGUAAAGAGGAGGUGAGGGGAUAGGCGAGUGACUGGGGGAAGGAACAGGGCGAGAGUGGAAGGGGCUCCUGCCUGGUGGUGAUUUUAGCUUUCCCCCUGAAUGUUUCUGUGAAAAAUGUCAGACUUGUCCAGAUUGAUGGGAAUAGAGAUGUGUUUGUGCACAGACACUGGGGUUUCUGGGGGGCAGGAAGCCCUGGUAAUGGGUGCAGCGAUACAGCUGGGCUGUGCUGGGGUGGAAGAAAAGGCCGUGGAGAGAAGGAAGGGUACCUGCACUGGAAAAGAAGGGGUGAGAAGUGAUGACAGCAGACACAGUCAGGUAGUCACCUGAAAUGUGUUGUCAUCUGAAGGCUCAACCAGGGAAGAAUGGGCUUCUGACCUCACUCGGGGUGUUGGCAUCAUUUAUUUCUGGUGGUGUGUGACUGAGAGCUCCAGCUUCUGACUGGCAAAUGAGGGCUGCCCUCAGCCUAGGGGCCACUGCAGUUCCCCACCUCAUGAAACUUUCCACAGUUCAGCUAGAGGGUGUCUCUCCAGGCUGCUCCAUGGUUUCUUAUACAACAGACCAGAUUUAUGGUGGUAGCAGCCUGUCAGCUUUACUCUAUUCAACUGGAUUGAAAAAAAUCACAAAUUCUUCCCACACUUAAAAGAAGAGGGUGACACAGAGAAUAAAGGGUGCAGAUGUCAUCAGGCCAUUUAAAAAUUCUUCCUCCCAUGCCCACCAUUCUGUGGAAACUGGUUCGUGAUUAAAAAAAGUAGCACCUCACAUUAUUAGAGAAAUGGUGUUCUAUUAAAAAAUGACAUAAAAAUGACAGUACCCAAAUGUGGGAGAAAAGUAGAUUUCCCUAGAUCAGGACUUCUCAGCCUUGGCAAUCUUGAUAUUUUGGGCUGGAUAAUUCUUUGCCAGGCAUGAGACAGUGCGAUGUAGGAGAUGAUGGUAGCUACCAACUAGACGCCAGUGGAAACCCUAUGUGAAAACUAGAAAUGUCACCAGGUGUUACAAAAUGUCUCCUGGGAGGCAAAAUUUCCCAGCAGAGAACCUCUGCCCUACCCGGUGUGCAAAUAUACACACAUACAGGCAGUCUUUGCUGUCCCGCGCUACCGUCUCGCCAGCAAGAACGACGCGGCACACAAAGGAUCCUUCUGCAGAUCAGCUUUAAUGCAUCUUGAGAGGGAGAGCAUAAGCUUGCCAAAAAUGGAGACCCCGAGCGAGGGAACCCGCGCCCUUUAUAUAGAGACUGCUCCUCGCCUAGGACGUGCUCCUACCUUAUUGGUGGCUGCCUAAUCGGCCCAGGCGUGUUACCGAGCAGCCCUGCCCUCCACCGGAAAUCAGCGCCAUCUUGUAAUGACGAUUUCGGGCAGCUCCUCACAUCUCCCCCUUUUUUAUCAUUUAAAGCGGCUGGUACAAGCUCGGCGGUCGCGGACAAAUUAGCCAGCGUUCCUGUCCUAGG